CUUGGCGGCCAUAGCGUCCUGGACCCACUCCUUCCCAUUACGAACAGGACAGUGAAACGGGACUGCGCCGAGGAUAGUGCGGAUUCCCCGUGUGAAAGUAGGUCACCGCCAGGC
rnacentral:rRNA from 1 species